rnacentral:rRNA from 1 species
CACGUAGGGUGCGAGCGUUGUCCGGAAUUAUUGGGCGUAAAGAGCUCGUAGGCGGUGUGUCGCGUCGGCCGUGAAAACCUGCAGCUUAACUGUGGGCUUGCGGUCGAUACGGGCAUCACUGGAGUUCGGCAGGGGAGACUGGAAUUCCUGGUGUAGCGGUGAAAUGCGCAGAUAUCAGGAGGAACACCGGUGGCGAAGGCGGGUCUCUGGGCAGAUACUGACGCUGAGGAGCGAAAGCGUGGGGAGCGAACAGG